rnacentral:RNase_P_RNA from 1 species
GGAGCAGGCCAGACAGUCGCCGUCCGGAGACGGAUGGAGGAAAGUCCGGGCUCCGCAGGGCAGGGUGCCAGGUAACGCCUGGGCGGCGCGAGCCGACGGAAAGUGCCACAGAAAAUAUACCGCCUGUGAUCGGCCAUAGCCGAUGACGGGUAAGGGUGAAAUGGUGCGGUAAGAGCGCACCGCGCCACUGGCAACAGUGGCGGCAGGGUAAACCCCACCCGGAGCAAGACCAAAUAGGGGAACGCACGCGUGGCCCGCGCGGUUCCCGGGUAGGUCGCUAGAGGCUUGCGGCGACGCAGGUCCCAGAUGAAUGGCUGUCCACGACAGAACCCGGCUUAUGGCCUGCUCCCUUU